rnacentral:rRNA from 2 species
GCCAACGUCCAUACCACGUUGAAUACACCGGUUCUCGUCCGAUCACCGAAGUUAAGCAACGUCGGGCGCGGUCAGUACUUGGAUGGGUGACCGCCUGGGAACACCGCGUGAUGUUGGCCUUU